CACCUGCAGCCAGUGGACACCCUUAUCUAGCCAUAACAGGAGCUGGUGGCUAGGCCUCAUCAGCCUUCAUGGCCAUGCCGCCUUUUGCCUCUUCUUGCUGGGCCAUGACUAGAUGGACCAUGCAGACUCAAGCUUGGACUUGCGCCUACUAUGAUGCUUGAGAAGGCUAUAUUUAUCGCCUUCUUCACCAACCUUUGCCAACAUCGACCUUUGGCAGCAUUCUUUAACAUUUUAUUGUGCAUCACCACAGCUCGAGGACGGCCCGUCUUGAAGGGGUGAUCUUGUGUUACGGUAUUGGGACCGGCUCCAGCUAGUGAAGCCCCUCACAGUGGUGUUACUCCUGAUUCUGCACUGCAUUCUCAAAUGCACAAUUCCCAAGAUGGAAGCUCUACUGGACAAAGAUGAAACUAAAUACACUCCAGGUGCAAGAAUAGUGGUGGGCAAAUGCUUAAGAAGCUAUCAACCUGAAUAGUGACGAAGACCAGAUCUUCACAUGUAGGGUGUGUUCGUUUCCUGGGGCCUAAAUUUUAGAGGGGUCACAUCAAAGAGAAUCUUGUUAUUUAGAAGUAUUAAAUAAAGUCUAAUUACAAAACUAAUUGCAGAACCCCAGUGCUAAU